UACGUAGGUGGCAAGCGUUGUCCGGAAUUAUUGGGCGUAAAGCGCGCGCAGGCGGCUAUGUAAGUCUGAUGUUAAAGCCCGAGGCUCAACCUCGGUUCGCAUUGGAAACUGUGUAGCUUGAGUGCAGAAGAGGAAAGCGGUAUUCCACGUGUAGCGGUGAAAUGCGUAGAGAUGUGGAGGAACACCAGUGGCGAAGGCGGCUUUCUGGUCUGUAACUGACGCUGAGGCGCGAAAGCGUGGGGAGCAAGCAGG
rnacentral:rRNA from 1 species